rnacentral:rRNA from 1 species
UACAGAGGUCUCAAGCGUUGUUCGGAUUCAUUGGGCGUAAAGGGUGCGUAGGCGGCGCGGUAAGUCGGGUGUGAAAGCCCCCGGCUCAACUGGGGAGGGUCACGCGAUACUGAUCGACUCGAAGGCAGGAGAGGGUAGUGGAAUUCCCGGUGUAGUGGUGAAAUGCGUAGAUAUCGGGAGGAACACCAGUGGCGAAGGCGACUACCUGGCCUGUUCUUGACGCUGAGGCGCGAAAGCUAGGGGAGCAAACGGG